AGCAGCCGCGGUAAUUCCAGCUCCAAUAGCGUAUAUUAAAGUUGUUGCAGUUAAAAAGCUCGUAGUUGAAUUUCGGGGUUAGUAGGUUGGUCAUGCCUCUGGUAUGUACUGGUCUCACUGAUUCCUCCUUCCUGAUGAGCCGUAAUGCCAUUAAUUUGGUGUUGCGGGGAAUUUGGACUGUUACUUUGAAAAAUUAGAGUGUUUAAAGCAAGCUAACGCUUGAAUACAUUAGCAUGGAAUAAUGAAAUAGGACGUUCGAUCCUAUUUUGUUGGUUUCUAGGAUUGACGUAAUGAUUAAUAGGGAUAGUUGGGGGCAUUAGUAUUCAAUUGUCAGAGGUGAAAUUCUUGGAUUUAUUGAAGACUAACUACUGCGAAAGCAUUUGCCAAGGAUGUUUUCAUUAAUCAAGAACGAAAGUUAGGGGAUCGAAGACGAUCAGAUACCGUCGUAGUCUUAACCAUAAACUAUGCCGACUAGGGAUCGGAUGAUGUUAA
rnacentral:rRNA from 1 species